rnacentral:rRNA from 1 species
GAUGAACGCUGGCGGCGUGCCUAAUACAUGCAAGUCGAGCGAACAGAUGAGGAGCUUGCUCCUCUGACGUUAGCGGCGGACGGGUGAGUAACACGUGGAUAACCUACCUAUAAGACUGGGAUAACUUCGGGAAACCGGAGCUAAUACCGGAUAAUAUAUUGAACCGCAUGGUUCAAUAGUGAAAGACGGUUUUGCUGUCACUUAUAGAUGGAUCCGCGCCGCAUUAGCUAGUUGGUAAGGUAACGGCUUACCAAGGCAACGAUGCGUAGCCGACCUGAGAGGGUGAUCGGCCACACUGGAACUGAGACACGGUCCAGACUCCUACGGGAGGCAGCAGUAGGGAAUCUUCCGCAAUGGGCGAAGGCCUGACGGAGCAACGCCGCGUGAGUGAUGAAGGUCUUCGGAUCGUAAAACUCUGUUAUUAGGGAAGAACAAAUGUUUAAGUAACUAUGCACGUCUUGACGGUACCUAAUCAGAAAGCCACGGCUAACUACGUG